rnacentral:lncRNA from 1 species
UUAUAAAGGCAGCUUUUCUUGCCUUUGAAGUAGGAGAUUUUUGAGAGUCGGAAAUCUAAAAAUACAGAAACUUCAAAAAUUUUACUACUUUCAUAGACUUCAAGAAAAAAGAUUAUUGUUCUAUUGCAUUCUCUUCUAUAAUUUCAAAGACUUUUAACUUCUGGAGAAUUUCUGAUUAAUCUGGUGCUGAAAUGAAUUGAGUUUUGGGUGUUUGAAGUUUGGUUUGAGGUUGCUUUGGGUUAUUGUUCGAUUAAGAUUGUCUUGUACUGUUUCGUAUCCAUUUUUCUAGUUUGCAUUGGUGUUGCUGGUGAUGCAUUCUACUGUUUACUGCUGAGUGUUCACUUCUUUUUCCUUGUCAAUUUCCAGGUAUUUCUUGGACCUCUUUAGCUCAUGAAGUGCAAGAUGUGAAGCUU